rnacentral:lncRNA from 1 species
CAUGCGUGCGGCCCGGGUUCGAUCCUCAGCACCACAUACAAAGAUGUUGUGUCCGCCAAUAACUAAAAAAUGAAUAUUAAAAAAAUUCUCUCUCUCUCUUUAAAAAAAAAAAUACACUUUUAAAGUGCCACGUGCUGCAAGGAAAAAUACAAAAGACUGGAGAACACCAGCUGCAGCAAGCACAGGUAGAAGAGACAAGGCAAGCUGCCUCCCACCCUAGGAUCCUGCUGGGGUGGGAAAAUACAAACAAGUCAAAUGGAAUGCUACUAGCUGGGGAAACUCAGGGAGCCUUUGCCUCCAACAAGGAGCAGCCAGCUCCCUGCUGUUUCCAUCACCAUGGUAACCACUGGAAGCCACUCAGGUCCACUCAGGCUUCCUGGUCCUGCCUCCUGCACAUUCAUGGGCUUCCUAUUGGUCCUUUCACUGUCACUCAGACAGGACUUCUGGUCCCGCCUUCCAGCAACUAACCUAUACUUCCUGUUGUAUCCCUGCUACCAUCAGCUGAACAAAGCUGCCUUUUUAAGAAUGUCCACCUGUACAUGCCCUUCAAUAGACGAAUGGAUAAAAAAAUGUGGCAUUUAUACACAAUGGAGUAUUACUCUGCAUUAAAAAAUGACAAAAUCAUAGAAUUUGCAGGGUAAUGGAUGGCAUUAGAGCAGAUUAUGCUAAGUGAAGCUAGCCAAUCCCUAAAAAACAAAUGCCAAAUGUCUUCUUUGAUAUAAGGAGAGUAACUAAGAACAGAGUAGGGACGAAGAGCAUGAGAAGAAGAUUAAUAUUUA